UUGGAUUUAUUUCUAGUUGUAAGUUUUUAGUGUGUAGCAACUUCUCUUGAAGAAGGAGUUUGCUUUUUUUUCAUUUUUGUUUUUUUUCUGAAUUAUAAUUGUUAACUUACUUUCAACACAUCUUUGCUAACUCAGUUUUGUUUUUCUUUCGUACUAAAACAUGAUUCUUACUAUCUUAAAUUCUUAGAACAAAGAAUAUAUGAAUGCAAUUUUAGUGAAAAUGGAGAGAUGAUAUUUCAAUUAAGAUUGAUGGGCGGGAGAUAUCAUAGGGUGAUAGGUUUUGUUAUUUGAUAUCUAUGAUAUAAAAUAAUGGAGAGUUAGAUGAAGACAUAUGUAAUAUGAUUGGAGCUAGUUGGAUGAAGUGGUGAGGUGGUUUUGGCAAUGUUACCUAGACACUUGGCACUGGUGCCUAGCGUCCAAGUUCCCUCAAGUGUUGGACAUGAGAACAUCCAAAAACCUAGGCAUCUAGGCACGGGGACACAACACAUAAAUAUAUUUAUAUGUAUAUAUAAGUGGUUUGAUUUAUUCUCUAGGUUUAUUUGAGAUGUGUUAGGAUACGUAAAAUGAGAACAAACUUGGUACAUUUAUAUUUAAAACAUAAUGACUUUUUAUUUAAACUAUUCAUAUAAUUGCAAUAACUUUAUAUUGAAGAUAUAAUGAUAAUUUGCUUAAUCUGUCCAUAUAAUCUUGAUAACCUUAUAUUAGAAACAUAAGGGCACGUUCCUUAAAGUGUCUAGUACUUCACUGAAAGCAUCCAACACUUAAAACUAGGAGUUCGCUAGAUGACAUUCUAAAGAAAAGUGGCUAGUAUUGGGCACUUUUUGGCGAUGUCAACAGAACACUUCAAAGUGGAGUGCCCAACCAUGUCAUGUCAUGUCAUGUCUUGCCAUGUCUGAUUGUCCAUAAGUGUUGACACUUCCAGAUAGCUUAACAAUGGAGUGUCUAGGUAACNN
rnacentral:lncRNA from 1 species